rnacentral:rRNA from 1 species
AUUGAACGCUGGCGGCAUGCCUUACACAUGCAAGUCGAACGGUAACAGGUCUUCGGAUGCUGACGAGUGGCGAACGGGUGAGUAAUACAUCGGAACGUGCCCGAUCGUGGGGGAUAACGGAGCGAAAGCUUUGCUAAUACCGCAUACGAUCUACGGAUGAAAGCAGGGGACCGCAAGGCCUUGCGCGGACGGAGCGGCCGAUGGCAGAUUAGGUAGUUGGUGGGAUAAAAGCUUACCAAGCCGACGAUCUGUAGCUGGUCUGAGAGGACGACCAGCCACACUGGGACUGAGACACGGCCCAGACUCCUACGGGAGGCAGCAGUGGGGAAUUUUGGACAAUGGGCGCAAGCCUGAUCCAGCCAUGCCGCGUGCAGGAUGAAGGCCUUCGGGUUGUAAACUGCUUUUGUACGGAACGAAAGACUCUUUCUAAUAAAGAGGUCCAUGACGGUACCGUAAGAAUAAGCACCGGCUAACUACGUGCCAGCAGCCGAC